GGUCUUAUAUUCAAGUAUGAUAUUAAAUUGCAAAUUUAAAGGUAAGUUAAUUUUAAGGCUU
rnacentral:tRNA from 1 species